UUGUAUGUGUUUGUGUUCCCCCACCAAACCACAUCCAGCAUGUCCUUUCUUUCUCCUCUCAUCCAGCACUGUCCUUUAUUUCCUUACCUCAUUCAAGCAUAAUUCCUUUAAUUUCCUUACCUCAGCCACAGAAUGUCCUUUAUUUUCACUCAUCCAGCAUAAGUGGCAUUAUUUUUUGUUUUUCGCAACACAGGAGUGUUAUAAAUGUCAGGUAAUCCGAUAUAGAUGGGAUGGUCAACACCUCGCUGGCCACACACACACAAACACACACAC
rnacentral:lncRNA from 1 species